rnacentral:rRNA from 1 species
AUGUUUGAGCACUAUCAUAUUGCUAACAGGAUAUUUCAUAGUGAGGAUGAAGAUUAUAGAUUCUAUAACAAAUAUGCUCUUUAGAAAGGUUUAAGUGUGCGGAGAAGCUAUAUUGAGUGGGAUGGAUCCAACAAUCAUAUAAUUUUGAGGAAAAUUGCUUGCAGUCGUGAAGGUGAAGAGAAGCGCAUGCAGAGGAAGAUGGAAGAUAGAAAGAGGAGGCCACGUAAUAUAACUCGUGUUAGGUGUAAAGCUAAAUUGGUCAUUGCAAGAUAGGAGUAAAUAGGUCGAUGGUUUGUGAAGGAUUUAAUCGAUGAACACAACCAUCCUCUAGCCCCACGGGACCUUUCGUGUCUUUUAUGUUCACGCAGAAGAAUUAGCGAUGAGCGGAAAGCAGACAUUGCAGACAUGAAAAAAUGUGUGAUCCGCGAACACCAUAUUUUAGAUGUUUUGUGCAUGCAAUACGGUGGAUAUGAUCAGGUUGGAUGCAUGAGGAGGGACAUUUACAAUUUCUGCCAUGCUAGUAAGCAGGAAUCAAUCGCAACCGGUGAUGCUCAAAUGAUGAUCAGUCACAUGAUGGCGCAGCGAGAGUAGGAUCCAGAUUUUUUCUUCAAGUACUUGCUUGAUGAACUUGGCUGUCUAAAGGGACUGUUCUGGUCUGAUAGUCAAUCCCAACUUGACUACGAGGCUUUCAGAGACGUUAUUGUUUUUGAUAGCACAUACAGAACCAAUAAGUACAAUAUGCCAUUUGUGUCGUUUGUUAGGUUGAAUCACCACCACAACACUAUUAUUUUCGGAUGUGGUAUCAUUUAUCAUGAAACAAGCCAUGAAUACAAGUGGAUGUUGCGGAGCUUUUCUGAUGCCAUGGGACAGAAGAAUCCGAUAUCUGUGAUCACAGACGGGGACCCUGCAAUGCAGAGUGCAAUCAGGGUGGUCUGGCCUGACUCAAACCCCAUGUUGUGUAUAUGGAACAUUCAGUAGAACAUUGUAUGUCAUCUGCAUGAUGACGCGGUAAAGGAGGAACUCAAAUAUUUCAUAUAUGAUUAAUCUUCCAUUGAAGAGUAUGAGAGAAAAUGGAUAAAAUUCUUACAACAGAAUAAAGUAACCAGUGAGGAGUCCAAGCUGUAUCAGAUGAGAAAGUUGUGGUGUUCUCCAUAUCUUGAAGGGUGUUGUUUCCUAGGUUUGAGUAGUAAUCAGCAGAAUGAGAGCUUGAACUCUGUGUUACAUACGCAUCUUGAGGGUAAAAUGAUGUUGUUUCAAAUGCUAAAGCACUAUGAGUGAUGCCUUGCGUCGUGACACUUGAACGAGUCUCUCCAAGACAUCGAGGCCUUGAAGUCGAUUUCAUUUAGAGAGGAAAAUGCUUCAGUUAUUGAGAAACAUGCCACAAAAGUUUUCACUCCUACUGUAUUUAAAUUGGUUUUAUAGAGCAUAAAUAUUGUCAACCAAUAUAUGACCACAGAGGUACUAGGCGCAUCAGAUGUUACCACCUAUGUUCUGUCUAAGAAGGAAAGAAUGGAUAAAAAGUUCAAAGUGCACAACGAGGAGCAGGAAGGUCUUUUGCACAUAAUCAGUUGUUCUUGCCAUAAGGUGGAAUGCGCAGGCAUACCAUGCUCUCACAUUUUUACACAUUGGUAA